rnacentral:lncRNA from 1 species
UAUAAUAUUAUACAAUUCGUAUAAAUAUAAUAUAAUUUCUUAUAUUAUGAAAAUAAUUAAGUGGUUGAUGAAUAAAACACUAGGCGGGAGCCCUAACGACGACAACGACUGAGAGAUCAGCUCUCGAAAUUCGAACUGAUAUAUCGGUGAAUCGAAAAUCUAUCGCCUAUCGUUUUAGUUUUUUGAACAACGAAACCAGGUAGUGGAGGCGAUUUUCAGACGUCCAGAAAACGUCCGUAUUUAAAACGAUAUGUACGAAAACGUACAUAUUUAGUCCACCGAAGGAAUUCCAUUUAUAGUCCAUAGACAUUAGGACUAAAACUGGACCUAUUUUGGGCACGUAUCUUCAACUUCAAAAAGAUGCUCUCAAGAUUCAUCUGUAGUACAGAUACAUUGAUAAAAAUUGUAUUUUUGCUUAUUAUAAUUACAUAAUUAGCAAACUUAUGUUAUCUUGGUAACUAGAAUAAUAAAACAUUGUAACAAAUAAUUUACAAAUAAGAUUUUCACACUUUACAAAAAAA